ACAUCUCCCUGUCCUGCAGGUGCUGGGACCCAGGCAGCAUCUCACAGAACGUGCAGAUUUUCUGAGCAGGAGACAAAUACGUAAUGGACUGUUCCUCUACCCUGCCCUUUUCACAGGCAACGUGUGGAUUUGUGGCUGAAGUUAAGCGUCAUUUCCAAGCCCAGAGAGAAUGAUCAAAGGAGCCUCAUCAGCAGGCAACUCAGACUCAUGCAGGGGACUAAGAAGCCCCUUCCAGUCCACCCCCACCAGAAAGGGACCUCUGUUCCUCAAACCUCAUAAAUAGUCGGGAAACAGCCUCUGGCUCCCGCAGCCCCCAUGGUUUGGGCUCUGGGCAUCUUCACAUGUACAGGGCAGUGAAGAGCGAGAGAACCAGAAAUGCCUGAAGACCACGAUUCCAAACCAGCAGAGACCAUUUACAGAGAUCUGGAGACGGCUUGGGGGUGGGGAGGAAGACCAAGGGCAAGGAAGGAUAUUCCUUUAAUUCUAGAACAUCUGAAAAAUUGGGGUAAUUUCCAAAGUUUCUGAGUGCUGGAGAGGGGCAAGGGUUCAAUGUCUUACAGCACAGAUUCAGUUACUUGCA